GGGAGAUGGCUCAGUUUUUAAGAGCACUGGCUGCUCUUCCAGAGGACCUGGGUUCAAUUCCCAGCACCCA
rnacentral:tRNA from 1 species